CUGUAUUACCAGAAGGAGCACCAGAAGUAGACCCAAGAACAAACAGGUUGAAGAAAAAGCCAACAAUCCCAGUGCCCGCUGGAGAACCACCAGUAUUACCCAUUUACUCCGCCAUGGCACCAGGUCCAUCACUAGCUCCAGCACCAGCUCCAGGACCAGGUGGGCCCCACCACCACUUCGACGGUGAAAGUCAAGUAAAAGAUUUCAUUCAAACUCUAUUGCAUUACGGUGGUUACAAUGAAUUAGCAGACAUUCUUGUAAAUCUCACUUCCUUAGCUACCGAAAUGGGGAGAUUAGUGUCCGAAGGGUACGUUU
rnacentral:lncRNA from 1 species